AUCACAAACACUCGCGUAAUUUUGUUCAAACUCCGAAGGUGGUAGAAUAAACAUUUCACUGGAAUGUGCAUGGUCUGUCGGUGUCAAGCAGAUUUAUUCAACAACAAAUGGAUAUAAGAGCAGGAACAAUGACAUGACUGUAGAUUUUACAAAACAGCUUGAGAAAUAUUUUUCAGAAAAUAACCUGGACAAACCUGUAGCCAAGAGGUGGACGUGAAAGAUCCCAUGGCACUAUUUGCAUAAGAACAAGGAAGCUAUCCUCGAUGUCCUGGGCUGGUUCCCAACCGAAAGACGGUGAAAUCAGUGGGCUGCACAUGUGUAGCCAUCCUCUGGCUGGUGCAUGUAUAGAAGCCUCAAGCCCCUCCAGGAACUGUAGUUCCUGGCCUCCGAACUCUCAAUCUCUGACUGCCAAUUAAGACUUACAAGAAAGCCUCUUUGUAUCUCUCCUUUAACAUUACAGCACUAAAAAAAGGCCCCGACACAUGGAUCUCUGAAGUGAGUAGCAAACACAAAGGAAACUUGCCAGAUUUGCUAAGGCUAACAGCCAGGAAGACCUGAUGGUAUUUUUUUUCCUGUCACCGGCAUUCGUGAAUUGCUUUGCCAACACUGCGAGCCGCAUGAGACCCAUUGCAAUGGGUACUGGCGGGCCUCGCACCCCAGUAAUCCCAAGAUAAAAGCAGCUAAAGUGAACAAACUGGGAA